AGCGGGAAAGAGCACUGGGAGCUUAUCGGUCUCAUAAGCCGACAUAGGUUGGUUCAAUUCCAACUCCCGCAACCA
rnacentral:tRNA from 1 species